GAUGAACGCUGGCGGCGUGCUUAACACAUGCAAGUCGAACGGAAAGGCUCCUGCUUGCAGGGGUACUCGAGUGGCGAACGGGUGAGUAACACGUGGGUGAUCUGCCCUGCACUUCGGGAUAAGCUUGGGAAACUGGGUCUAAUACCGGAUAGGACCGCAUUUUGGAUGGUGUGGUGGAAAGUUUUUUCGGUGUGGGAUGAGCUCGCGGCCUAUCAGCUUGUUGGUGGGGUAAUGGCAUACCAAGGCGUCGACGGGUAGCCGGCCUGAGAGGGUGUACGGCCACAUUGGGACUGAGAUACGGCCCAGACUCCUACGGGAGGCAGCAGUGGGGAAUAUUGCACAAUGGGCGCAAGCCUGAUGCAGCGACGCCGCGUGGGGGAUGACGGCCUUCGGGUUGUAAACUCCUUUCGCUAGGGACGAAGAGUAAUUGACGGUACCUGGAGAAGAAGCACCGGCUAACUACGUG
rnacentral:rRNA from 1 species